rnacentral:rRNA from 1 species
CAUGCAAGUCGAACGAUGAACCUCCUUCGGGAGGGGAUUAGUGGCGAACGGGUGAGUAACACGUGGGCAAUCUGCCCUGCACUCUGGGACAAGCCCUGGAAACGGGGUCUAAUACCGGAUACUGAUCAUCUUGGGCAUCCUGGAUGAUCGAAAGCUCCGGCGGUGCAGGAUGAGCCCGCGGCCUAUCAGCUUGUUGGUGAGGUAACGGCUCACCAAGGCGACGACGGGUAGCCGGCCUGAGAGGGCGACCGGCCACACUGGGACUGAGACACGGCCCAGACUCCUACGGGAGGCAGCAGUGGGGAAUAUUGCACAAUGGGCGCAAGCCUGAUGCAGCGACGCCGCGUGAGGGAUGACGGCCUUCGGGUUGUAAACCUCUUUCAGCAGGGAAGAAGCGCAAGUGACGGUACCUGCAGAAGAAGCGCCGGCUAACUACGUGCCAGCAGCCGCGGUAAUACGUAGGGCGCGAGCGUUGUCCGGAAUUAUUGGGCGUAAAGAGCUCGUAGGCGGCUUGUCGCGUCGGUUGUGAAAGCCCGGGGCUUAACCCCGGGUCUGCAGUCGAUACGGGCAGGCUAGAGUUCGGUAGGGGAGAUCGGAAUUCCUGGUGUAGCGGUGAAAUGCGCAGAUAUCAGGAGGAACACCGGUGGCGAAGGCGGAUCUCUGGGCCGAUACUGACGCUGAGGAGCGAAAGCGUGGGGAGCGAACAGGAUUAGAUACCCUGGUAGUCCACGCCGUAAACGGUGGGCACUAGGUGUGGGCAACAUUCCACGUUGUCCGUGCCGCAGCUAACGCAUUAAGUGCCCCGCCUGGGGAGUACGGCCGCAAGGCUAAAACUCAAAGGAAUUGACGGGGGCCCGCACAAGCGGCGGAGCAUGUGGCUUAAUUCGACGCAACGCGAAGAACCCUUACCAAGGCUUGACAUACACCGGAAASMUCURGAGAYRGRKSCCCCCYCUUUGUGUCGGUGUACAGGUGGUGCAUGGCCUGUCGUCAGCUCGUGUCGUGAGAUGUUGGGAUUAAGUCCGCAACGAGCGCAACCCUUGUCCCGUGCUGCAGCAGAUCCUUGUGUGCUGGGGACUCACGGCAGACCGCCGGGGUCAACUCGAGUAAGGUGGGUACGAACGUUCAAGUCAAUCCAKUGACCU